GUCUUCUAGUGUAAUUAUAAAGCACUGAUUUUGAGCGAUGAAAGCAGUUUUCAUGUAUUUCAAUAAGACAUAUAUUUUUCUAUGAGCAAGGUUUGAUUGACAGAAGGUUCGUUGUCGUUGCUGCCUGUUACAAGUAGUUCGUUCACCUUUUGACUUUUGCUUAACGGGUAGCUCGCUAGAUACAUAUUUAGAUAGGAAAUGUAUUGACAGUUGGGUAUAGUCGGUGACUACUUGCUAACUAACAUUAGCUGCAUUGCAAGCUAACUAAUGCAGCAACUGGUGGUGAUGCAUGGACUGAACAGUAGUCUCGUCGUUGCAGCUGGGUAGCACAACAGAAUAGAACUUCGUUCUCUUUUGACAAGACUUUAUCAAGCAAGAGCACAAUCCAUGGAACACGCGACAUUAAAUACCAGUCAAAUAUGGACCAAGAAAAUGAUACGGAACGUUUUUGUGCAGUUGUUAUAACGAGGUAGCUAGCUAGCAAGCCAGGACAUUGGAGAAAUACAACAGCGUUGCAAGUGAAACACCUACAUAGCAGCUUGACAGCUAAGCUUGGUCUGUCUGUGUGCGUGGAGUGCCUAUGGCGGAGUUUGGAGAGAACGACGGCUCAUCUCCAUCGAAUACUGGGGAUUCGGUGGCUUUGCCCAGUGAUAAUACAGACAGGAGGACGCAGUGCGAAGUAUCGGUCUUCAAUGGGGACUGUGGGAUACCGGCAGACAUGGUUGGAUCAGAAACGUUACAUGACAGCCCAGGGCUUGAAACCGCCAACAACUCCUCUGUCAGAUUGGAUUCCAAAUCCGGAAUACCACGCAGGAGCAGCAUUAUAAAGGAUGGCUCGAGGCAGCGCAGAGAGAGGAAGAAGACGGUUUCGUUCAGCAGCAUGCCCACUGAGAAGAAAAUCAGCAGUGCGAGCGACUGCAUCAACGCCAUGGUGGACGGCUCUGAACUGAAGAAGGUCCGCUCCAACUCCCGCGUUUACCACCGCUACUUCCUCCUGGACGCCGACAUGCAGUCUCUAAGGUGGGAACCCUCCAAAAAAGAGUCAGAGAAAGCCAAAAUUGAUGUCAAGUCCAUCAAAGAGGUGCGGACAGGGAAAAACACAGAAACGUUUCGGACCAACGGAAUAUAUGAUCAGAUAUCAGAAGACUGUGCCUUCUCAAUCAUCUAUGGGGAAAACUAUGAGUCUUUGGACUUGGUUGCAAACUCUGCCGAUAUGGCCAACAUAUGGGUGACCGGGCUUAGAUACCUGAUAUCCUAUGGGAAACACACCUUGAAUAUGAUUGAAAGCAACCAGAACAACAUGCGCUCCUCCUGGCUCGGUGACCUCUUUGAGGAGGCUGAUGCCAACAACAGCAAGCACAUCAGUCUAUGUGCUGCUGUGCAGCUAAUUAAAAACCUAAACCCUGGUCUCAAAAACAUUAAGAUUGAACUCAAGUUCAAGGAGUUUCACAAAUCUAAAGAUAAGGUGGGAUGUGGUGUGACUAAGGAGGAGUUCAUUGAAGUCUUUCAUGACCUUUGCACAAGACCAGAAAUGUAUUUCCUUCUUGUCCAGUUCUCUAGCAACAAGGAAUUUCUAGAUACCAAGGACUUAACUAUGUUUCUGGAGGCUGAGCAGGGUAUGGCACAAGUAAGUGAAGACACCAGUCUGGAGGUCAUUCAGAGCUAUGAACCUUCCAAAGAGGGGCAGCUCAAGGGCUGGCUCUCCCUUGAUGGGUUUACCAAUUAUCUCAUGUCGCCAGAGUGCCACAUCUUUGACCCUGAACAAAAAACAGUGUGUCAGGACAUGAACCAGCCCCUGUCCCACUAUUACAUCAACGCUUCCCACAACACAUACCUGAUCGAGGAUCAGUUUAGAGGCCCCUCUGACGUUACAGGGUACAUCCGUGCCCUCAAGAUGGGCUGUCGUAGUGUUGAACUAGAUGUCUGGGAUGGACCAGAUAAUGAGCCUGUCAUUUACACUGGCCACACAAUGACCUCGCAGAUAGUCUUCCGCAGUGUCUGUGACGUCAUCAACAAAUAUGCCUUUGUUGCAUCUGACUUUCCCCUGAUAUUGUGUCUGGAGAACCACUGCUCUUUAAAGCAGCAGAGGGUCAUGUUUCAGCACUUGAAAAAGAUUCUUGGUGAUAAGAUUCACAUGAAUCCACCCUCAUCUGAGGACAGCUACCUGCCCUCACCCUUUGACCUCAAGUGUAAAAUCCUGCUAAAGGGGAAGAAGCUGGGCGCGAUCUGCAUCGGCUCGGAGGGCGAAGUGACUGAUGAGGAUGAGGGGGCUGAGAUGUCCCAAAGAAUGAACAUUGAAGCCGACGAACAACAGAGCAUACCACUGAAAAAGUUCCAGCUGUCCAAGGACCUCUCUGAUCUGGUAACGUUGUGUAAAUCGAUUGCGUUCAAAGACUUCCCAACAGCUUUCCAAAGCCAGAGGCACUGGGAACUUUGCUCGUUCAAUGAGGUCUUUGCCAGUCGCUGUGCCAGUGAAUUCCCAGGCGACUUUGUUAACUACAACAAGAAAUUAUUGGCGAGAGUCUACCCCAGCCCAAUGCGGAUUGACUCCAGUAACAUGAACCCUCAGGACUUCUGGAAGUGUGGUUGCCAGAUCGUGGCAAUGAACUACCAGACCCCCGGCCUGAUGAUGGACCUAAACAUUGGCUGGUUCCGUCAGAAUGGGAACUGUGGUUAUGUGCUGCGACCAGCCAUAAUGAGGGAGCAGGUGUCAUAUUUCAGUGCCAACACUAAAGACUCAGUGCCUGGUGUGUCUCCUCAGCUCUUGCACAUAAAGAUCAUAAGUGGACAAAACUUCCCCAAACCAAAAGGCUCAGGCGCCAAAGGAGAUAUUGUUGACCCUUACGUCUAUGUGGAGAUCCAUGGCAUCCCUGCUGAUUGUGCAGAGCAAAGGACUAAAACUGUCAAUCAGAAUGGGGAGAACCCACUGUUUGACGAAAGCUUUGAGUUUCAGAUAAAUCUACCUGAGCUGGCCAUGGUGCGCUUCGUGGUGCUUGAUGAUGACUACAUUGGCGACGAGUUCAUCGGCCAGUACACAAUCCCCUUCGAGUGUCUCCAGCCGGGAUUCCGGCACACACCGUUACAAUCGCUAACGGGAGAAGUUCUUCCCCACGCCUGGCUGUUUGUCCAUGUGGCCAUCACCAACCGAAGGGGCGGGGGCAAGCCUCACAAGAGGGGACUGUCUGUGCGUAAGGGCAAGAGAAGUCGGGAGUAUGCCACCAUGAGGGUGCUGGUCAUCAAGGCUGUGGACGACAUCUUCAAGACAGCCAUACUGCCACUGAGGGAAGCCACCGACCUCAGAGAAAACAUGCAGAAUGCCAUAGUGCCCUUCAAGGAACUAUGUGGCCUCUCGGCGGUGGCCAACCUGAAGCAGUGCAUCCUGGCCCUGUCCUCCCGGCUGACAGGGGCUGACAACAACCCCCUCCUGGUGUUCAACCUCAAGGACCAGUACCCCACCAUGGAGCCCCAGGGCCAGCUACCAGAUGUCCUGAAGAAGGUGGUCACCACCUAUGACAUGAACCCCCGCACAGAGCAUGAAGAUGAUCCAGACCAGCAAGACUCUGCUGGAGAACUCUGAGGGAGUCUACGACCGAAUACUGCUAACCCAGAAAGCAGCGAUGGCGUUCCAUGAGAACCUCCAUGACAUGGCGGUAAAGGAGGGCCUGAAGGGCAGGAAGCUGGCCAAGGCUGUGGAGAGCUUCACCUGGAACAUAACCAUCCUCAAGGGCCAGGCGGACCUGCUGAAGCACGCAAAGAGUGAGGUCCAGGAGAGCCUGAAGCAGAUCCACUAUGCCGCCCUCACCUGUAACCUCAGUAAGGACGGGCCUUCAGGGAGCACGGCGGGCUCCGAGUCCAGGGCCCGACCACGCAGCCUGGACGCCAUCCCUGAGAAAGCCACGGGGGAGGACGAGCUCUCUGAGGAGGACAACUGAAGGCUUACGCCCUAAACCCUUCAUACCUCCAAGCCCCUUGCCCUACCCUAGUGGCAUACAUAAACCUCCUUACCGCAGUCCCACUCAAACCUGACUACAGUGUACCUGUUCUAGUGCCGUUGCCACACAACUAUUCUUAUUCCAGUGUCGUAUACAACCAUUCCAUUCCCACCCCAAUCUCACUCAAACCUCCCUUUGCUUAACCAGGUACCACACAAAAAGCCCUUAACCCCUCCUGCCCACCUCAACGUCCAACAGCAAGAUGUUGCAGGUCAACUAGGAGGGUCAAGUGAACUUGCAGCCACGGGACAGUCUUAAAGCCGUGACCUACUGUAGAGAGAGUGCACUUAUUUACAGGCAGACCCCAGGGUCUGACCCUAGGAGAGCCGCUCUAAAGGGUCCAAGGAUUUCUUAAGCACAAUUUACGGGUUUCUGACCAACCAGAAAUUAGAGCUGUGAAUGUAAUGGGAAACGGGAACAAUGGAGAGAAGGAAAGAAGAAAAGGGAGGCGAGAGCUGUUUACAAGAAUGAACUUGUUCUUGUCUGCCAAAAUAGUAUCUUUAUAUAUGGAGUUCUGUUACUUUUUUUGCAGCGUGCUUCAUUUUAUUAUUAUAUUCUUGAGAAAUAAGAUUUAUUUUGUAAAGGAAAUGGCUUGUCCAUGAAAAAUAACUAUUUUAUUUGUUUGUACAAAUGAAAUUGUGGUGUCCUUUACACUUUCCCACUGGAGAGUUCCUUUGUCGAGACGAGGGACGGAUAGAGACUUUCAACCUCAGUGUGUGGUCCAAAGGGUGGCGCAACUGCUUAGGGAAGGAACCAUGGAGAGAAUAACUUGUUAGGUCUACGUUUUGGUAUCAUUUCACCAUUCCACGUGAGAGGCUUGAGUAAGGUGUACAAAGUAAUAAUAGCUUCUCAACCCGUCCUGGUAACAAACUAGCACCCUAUUCAUGAAUACGGUUUCAUAUAUGACUGUGCCUCAUUGCUACCAAUCAGUCAACAAAAGGGAUGGAUGGUGAGGAAAGAGAUGCUCUUCCUCACAUCCCUCUUUAAUCUGCUUUUGCCCACCAGUUGCUUCUAGUUUGUAUUUUGUUCAUUCUCUCCACAGUGCUGAAACAGCGUUGCUCCUGGUCAACUUUAGCCACCCACCGCCACCUCUGGAUCUCACCCACCAGUGUUUUAACUGGGCCCACACUGAGACAAAAAGUUAUUCAGAAACGUCAGUGCUGUGACUGUUGUAUUUAUAACUGUUGUUAACCAUUUUUACCGAUGGAGAGAAAAAGAAGAAAAAAAUACCGGUUUUGCUUUUCUGUUAAUUCCUGAAACCUUCAGAAUAAACCACGUUAAAUCGUU